rnacentral:rRNA from 1 species
AACGAACGCUGGCGGCAGGCUUAACACAUGCAAGUCGAGCGCCCCGCCAGGGGGGGGGCAGACGGGUGAGUAACGCGUGGGGACGGACCCUUAUCUACGGGAUAGCCUCGGGAUACGGGGAUGAAUACCGAAGGUGCCUUAUGGGGGAAAGGUUUACCGGGUAAGGGUCGGCGCGCGGGGGAUUAGCAGGUUGGGGGGGUAAAGGCCUCCCAAGGCGACUAUCCAGAGCUGGUCUGAGAGGAUGAUCAGCCACACUGGGACUGGGACGCGGCACAGACUCCUACGCGAAGCAGCAGUGCGGAAUCUUGGCCUACCGGCUCAAGCAUGAUCCAGCCCUGCCGCGUGAGUGAUGAAGGCCUUAGAGUUGUACAGCUCUUUCACCGCAGAAGAUAAUGACGGUAUCCGGAGAAGAAGCCCCGGCUAACUUCGUG